AGAGGGAAGUGGGAUUCCUGGUGUAACGGUGAAAAUGCGUAGAAAUCAAGGAAGAACACCGGUGGCGAAGGCGGCUUCCUGGUCCGAUACUGACGCUGAGGCGCGAAAGCGUGGGGAGCGAACAGGAUUAGAUACCCUGGUAGUCCACGCUGUAAACGAUGGGUACUAGGUGUUGGUCCUUUUUAGGAUCAGCGCCGCAGCUAACGCAUUUAAGUACCCCGCCCUGGGGAAUACGACCGCAAGGUUGAAACUCAAAGGAAUUGACGGGGGCCCGCACAAGCGGUGGAGCAUGUGGUUUAAUUCGAUGCAACGCGAAGAACCUUACCUGGGCUUGAACCGUAGUCGAAAACCCCUGAAAAGGGGUCCUCCUUCGGGACGGCCAUAGAGGUGCUGCAUGGCUGUCGUCAGCUCGUGCCGUGAGGUGUUGGGUUAAGUCCCGCAACGAGCGCAACCCUUGCCCUUAGUUGCCAUCAGGUUAUGCUGGGAACUCUAAGGGGACUGCCCCGGAUAACGGGGAGGAAGGUGGGGAUGACGUCAAGUCCUCAUGGCCCUUACGUCCAGGGCUACACACGUGCUACAAUGGCCGGUACAAUGGGCAGCGAUACCGCAAGGUGGAGCAAAUCCUUAAAACCGGUCUCAGUUCAGAUUGCAGUCUGCAACUCGACUGCAUGAAGUCGGAAUCGCUAGUAAUCGCGGAUCAGCAUGCCGCGGUGACUACGUUCCCGGGUCUUGUACACACCGCCCGUCACGCCAUGGAAGUUGGUAGCACCCGAAGCCGGUGGCCUAUCACGCUUGCGGGAAAGGAGCCGUCGAAGGUGAGACU
rnacentral:rRNA from 1 species